rnacentral:rRNA from 1 species
GACGAACGCUGGCGGCGUGCCUAAUACAUGCAAGUCGAACGCAGUGGGGACGGGUGAGUAACACGUGGGUAACCUCCCAUCAGAGGGGAUAACACUUGGAAACAGGUGCUAAACCGCUACUGAUGGAUGGACCCGCGGUGCAUUAGCUAGUUGGUGGGGUAACGGCUCACCUAGGCCAAGAUGCAUAGCUGGCCUGAGAGGAUGAUCGGCCACCCUGGGACUGAGACACGGGCCAGACUCCUACGGGAGGCAGCAGUGGGGAAUAUUGCACAAUGGGCGCAAGCCUGAUGCAGCCAUGCCGCGUGUAUGAAGAAGGCCCUAGGGUUGUAAAGUACUUUCAGUCGGGAGGCGUUACCGACAGAAGAAGCACCGGCUAACUCCGUGCCAGCAGCCGCGGUAAUUC